AAUAUUUUAUAUAAAUUAAUUUAAACCAUAAUUUCCAUAUCAUUUUUAGUAGUGAUUCUAAAUAAUGGGAAGCUCACAAUUGGCUGGAUGUGAAAGGAUGAAAGUGUGGUCCACGUUGAAAAAUCAAACAGUUUGGGGAAGAAUAAUAUAUUGAAGAAAGUUGCAAUUAAAACAGAGUAUCUCUCUCUGGAACUCACAACCCAAAAACAGAGCAUUUCUCUCUCUUUAAAAGUUGAUAAUGCUGAAGGAGGCACAACUCGUGGGAGUGGGCCUCAUGACAGUAGUCAUCCAUGCCUGCUUUCUUUCAGUUUGUGUUGCUAAGCAUCACAAGUACCAGAUAUGCAGAGCCUCCUCCUGCGGAGAUAUUCGGAACAUUUCUUACCCUUUUCGAUUAAAAGGCGAUCCCCCCAGCUGCAGUUACCCUGAGUAUGGAUUGUUUUAUGAAAACAAUCGUACUGUGAUAAACCUUCACGGUGGGAAAUACUUAGUUACCCAGAUCAACUACCAUAAUUAUACAAUUCGGGUAGUGGAUCCUGGGCGAAAAAAGGACAACUUUUUGAUCUCCAGUCCUCUUCAUUCCAUUGGUGCAUAUUAUACCGAGUUUGAGUAUGAUUUUCCAUAUUAUUUGCCUUAUCAAUGGAGUGCUGCUUAUUCUCCUUUGCCUUCUGAACCAACAUUCAAUACAAUAGUUUAGAUGAACUGUGAGCAGUCAAUCAGGGACGACAACUACAUUCCUAUAAUUCCAUGCUUCCUCGCCAACAAACACUUAACGCAAUAGUCGGAGACGAUGUGUCGGUGGGAGAUAUUCCGCAUUCGUGCACCAUUGGCACAUCUAUGCGUAUUCAAUUGUUGAAGGCACUUCUAGAGCCCAGCAACCUUUCGAUGACUUUAAAAAGAACUUGGUAAUUGCAGACUUCACUAUCCCUGCAACACCUCGAUGAUUGGUGGUUGGAUACUGCAUAUUAUUGGUAAGCCUCCUAAAUUCCAACUACUAAUUUUUUGUAAAAACAAUAUUGUAAAGAGUUGAUAUGAAAAUUCUUGGAAUACUUGAAUUUAAAGGUUGUACAAUGAACUCUAAAUUGAUUUUGCUUUGUUUGACUGUACAAAACAAAAUAAAUUUAGAUGUAAUUCAAAUUUUUCUCCCAAAUUUAAAUGUAAUUCAACUCCACUAACAUAUAAAGAAGUCAAAAUAAUGGAAUUGAAACUGGGGUCUUCUUAUCCAAGGCUCCAUAACUUCCGUCAAAUUGCUCCCCAA